rnacentral:rRNA from 1 species
UACGAAGGGGGCUAGCGUUGUUCGGAUUUACUGGGCGUAAAGCGCACGUAGGCGGGUCGUUAAGUCAGGGGUGAAAUCCCGGAGCUCAACUCCGGAACUGCCUUUGAUACUGGCGACCUUGAGGCUGGAAGAGGUUAGUGGAAUUCCCAGUGUAGAGGUGAAAUUCGUAGAUAUUGGGAAGAACACCAGUGGCGAAGGCGGCUAAUGGUCCAGAUCUGACGCUGAGGUGCGAAAGCGUGGGGAGCAAACAGG